rnacentral:rRNA from 1 species
UACGUAGGGGGCUAGCGUUGUCCGGAAUCAUUGGGCGUAAAGCGCGCGUAGGCGGCCCGGUAAGUCCGCUGUAAAAGUCAAAGGCUCAACCUUUGAAAUGUCAGUGGAUACUGCCGGGCUAGAGUCCGGAAGAGGCGAGUGGAAUUCCUGGUGUAGCGGUGGAAUGCGCAGAUAUCAGGAGGAACACCAACGGCGAAGGCAGCUCGCUAGGACGGUACUGACGCUAAGGCGCGAAAGCGUGGGGAGCGAACAGG